CUUCUCCAGAGCCUACUUCCUUAUCGUCCGGAAGAACAUCCAGGACAGUGUCCCUAAAACUGUCAUGCACUUCCUGGUGAACUAUGUCAAAGAGCACCUGCAGAGUGAACUGGUGGGACAGCUGUACAAGGCCCAGCUCCUGGAGGGGCUGCUGACUGGUCC